UGCCGCGGGAAGCUCGGAGGGCUCAUGGACCAGGGAAAUGCCAUAGCUGGAACCGUUUACGGCCGGCUUCACAAAGCAGCGCUCGCCACAAACCUCGACGAUAUGAUCGAUAUCGACUUCAUCGCCCACUUCGAGCGCCAGGCCGGGGGCAAUGGGAAUGCCCGCCUUAGCGUAUAGGAGCUUCGAGACCUCCUUGUCGGCACCGCAGGCGCUCGCGAGCACACCCGACGCCGUGUAGGGGAUACCCAGGGUCUCCAUGGCACCCUGCAUGGCACCAUCCUCGCCGCCGGCACCGUGCAUGGCGAUAAACGCCACAUCGAAACCGCCAGUCGCCAUGGUUACCAUAAAGUCAUCAGCGGCCGUGUCGAGCAGCUCCACCGAGGUGUAGCCGGCCUCCUUCAAGGCCACCACGACGUUCUUUCCCGAAUUGAGCGAGAUCUCGCGCUCGGCGGAAUGACCGCCCGCCAAGACCGCUACGUGCAUGUUCUCUAGGCUUUUACUCGGCAUGGGCAGACUCCUCCUCUAUAAUUUCUGCAGCUGAUACCAUAUUGUAGCGAUACCCUCUACGUUUCCCCAAAAUCGAAAGGCUUCCAUGAAUCCCAGGACUAAAUCUCAGGACAUUCGCGACUUGAGCCAAAACGAUAUUCGCGAGCUCGUGGCAGAACUUGGCCAGCCCGCCUUCCGCGCGAAACAGCUCAUCGAAUGGGUCUUUGAGAAGAACGUUUGUUCGUUUGACGAUAUGACCAACCUUCCCAAGGCCUUCCGCGAGCAGCUUAAAGAGGCUUUUGCCUUUGACACGCCGACGGAGCUUAUCAAGCAGGUUUCCAAAGACGGCUCGCGCAAGUAUCUGCUCGAGUACCACGACGGCAUUUCCGUCGAGACUGUCGGUAUGCCUCGUCGCAAUAAACUCUCCGUCUGUGUUUCUACUCAGGCUGGCUGUGGCAUGGGCUGUGCUUUUUGCGCUACCGGUCUCAACGGCCUCAAGCGCUCUCUGACCGCUCAAGAGAUCGUCGCAGCAGGCAGACAUUCCUGCACCGCGCACGCGGCGCUACGACCGACGGGGCGACGGAUGGGGGUGGCUCGGCGGGGUUCUGGACGUCCCCGUGAUGGAGCGCGGCCCGCGGACCAGGGAAAUCCGGUCCGCAUUGAGGGCGAGGCUCCGGACGAAGCGAUUGAGCGAAGCGAGUGAGCCCGAGGUCCCUAGAAAAACCCCUAGGCAGGCGCGUGCGCGCCCGUACCGCAAACCGACACAGGUGGGUGGGUAGAACAUACCGAGGCGAUCGGGUCAACCAUGGUCAAGGAACUCGGCACAAUGGCCCCGUAACUUCGGGAGAAGGGGUGCCCGCGCGUACGUGAACCGGCUUGCCCGGGGAGCGGAGGCGGGCCGCAGUGGAGAGGCCCAAGCGACUGUUUACCAAAAACACAGGACUCUGCAGAAGCCGCAAGGCGACGUAUAGGGUCUGACGCCUGCCCGGUGCCGGAAGGUCACGCGGAGGAGUUAGCCAUUUCGGCGAAGCCCCGAAGCCAAGCCCCGGUAAACGGCGGCCGUAACUAUAACGGUCCUAAGGUAGCGAAAUUCCUUGUCGGGUAAGUUCCGACCUGCACGAAAGGCGCAACGACUUGGGCGCUGUCUCGACCAUGGACCCGGUGAAAUUGCACUGGUCGUGAAGAUGCGACUUACCCGCGGAAGGACGGAAAGACCCCGUGAACCUUCACUGCAGCUUGGCAUUGGCCGCUGGUCCCGCGUGUAGAGGAUAGGCAGGAGGCAUCGAUCCGGAGGCGCCAGCCCCCGGGGAGCCGCCCUUGGAAUACUGCCCUCGCGCGACCGGCGUCCUAACCCGAGGCCGUCAACCGGCUCGGGGACCGUGCCAGGCGGGCAGUUUGACUGGGGCGGUCGCCUCCUAAAGGGUAACGGAGGCGCGCGAAGGUCCGCUCGGGACGGUCGGCAACCGUCCUUUUGAAUGCAAGAGUACAAGCGGGCUUGACUGCGAGGCCCACAAGCCGAGCAGGUGCGAAAGCAGGCUCUAGUGAUCCGGCGGCCCCGAGUGGGUGGGCCGUCGCUCAACGGAUAAAAGGUACUCCGGGGAUAACAGGCUGAUCUUGCCCAAGAGUCCACAUCGACGGCAAGGUUUGGCACCUCGAUGUCGGCUCAUCGCAUCCUGGGGCUGGAGUAGGUCCCAAGGGUUGGGCUGUUCGCCCAUUAAAGCGGUACGCGAGCUGGGUUCAGAACGUCGUGAGACAGUUCGGUCCCUAUCCUCCGUGGGCGCAGGAGAAUCGAUGGAGGCUGCCCCCAGUACGAGAGGACCGGGGUGGACGCACCUCCGGUGAACCGGUUGUCGACCAACGGCACGGCCGGGUAGCCGCGUGCGGCGCGGAUAACCGCUGAAGGCAUCUAAGCGGGAAGCCGUUCCAGGGAUUAGUUCUCCUUCCGGUAAGGGCCCAGGUAGACUACCUGGUCGAUAGACGGCAGGUGCAAGGACGGCGACGUCCUCAGCCGAGCCGCACUAAUCGCCCGAGCUCUUCCGGAA
rnacentral:rRNA from 1 species